rnacentral:rRNA from 1 species
AUACGGAGGGUGCAAGCGUUAAUCGGAAUUACUGGGCGUAAAGCGCGCGUAGGCGGUUUAGUAAGUCGGAUGUGAAAGCCCAGGGCUCAACCUUGGAAUUGCAUUCGAUACUGCUUAACUAGAGUAUGGUAGAGGGAAGUGGAAUUUCCGGUGUAGCGGUGAAAUGCGUAGAUAUCGGAAGGAACACCAGUGGCGAAGGCGACUUCCUGGGCCAAUACUGACGCUGAGGUGCGAAAGCGUGGGGAGCAAACAGGAUUAGAAACCCCGGUAGUCC